UUUUACAACGAAGAGUUUGAUCCUGGCUCAGGAUGAACGCUAGCUGCAGGCUUAAUACAUGCAAGUCGAGGGGUAACAGAGAGUG
rnacentral:rRNA from 1 species